rnacentral:sRNA from 1 species
GGUGGCUGCGGUAGCCGCUGCGCGCUGAGGCGCCUGCUCAGUGUGGGACGCGGAGCGCGAGGGGCGGCGGCCGCCGCUGGCGCUCAAGCAUGGCGGCGGCGGCGUUGGGCAGCUCCUCAGGCUCGGAGUCCCCGGCCGUGGCCGAGCUCUGCCAGAACACCCCGGAGACCUUUCUGGAGGCCUCCAAGCUGCUGCUCACCUAUGCUGACAACAUCCUCAGAAACCCUAAUGAUGAAAAAUAUAGAUCUAUCCGGAUUGGAAAUACAGCCUUUUCUACUAGACUCUUGCCUGUCAGAGGAGCUGUUGAAUGUUUAUUUGAAAUGGGCUUUGAAGAGGUUCCAUUUCAGGCCCUGAAGUAACAGUAGUGAACAAAGUAGUAGAUAUAAUCCCAUCUCACAUGGAGCUUACAUUCUAGUAGGUUAAACAGCCAGUAGAUGUGAAAACAAGAUGAGUGCAAAGAAGAAAAUAAGACCAG